UGAUGCAAGGGCGAUCUGGCUGCGACAUCUCUCACCCCAUUGAUUGUCAGGGUUGAUUUAGCUGACCUGGCUGGCUAGAUGGGUUUCCCCUUUCUCUCUCACCACUCCAUGUGCGUUCCUCUUGAAGCGGCGUGCUCUGCGGAAGUGGACGACCAUCCCAGAUAGAAGAAUUGUAGCUCAAGGUCCAACAGUGUAUUUCUUCACACAGUGAAUAUUACAACGCAGGAUUUGCUACCACUAGAUGUGUUGCAUACCAGU